GGCAACCCUGACGGAGCAACGCCGCGUGUGGGAGGACGGCCUUCGGGUUGUAAACCUCUUUUCUCAAGGAAGAAGUCAGUGACGGUACUUGAGGAAUCAGCAUCGGCUAACUCCGUGCCAGCAGCCGCGGUAAUACGGAGGAUGCAAGCCUUAUCCGGAAUCAUUGGGCGUAAAGCGUCCGCAGGUGGCGUAUCAAGUCUGCUGUCAAAGACUAGAGCUCAACUCUGGAAAGGCGGUGGAAACUGGUAGGCUAGAGUACGGUAGGGGUAGAGGGAAUUCCCAGUGUAGCGGUGAAAUGCGUAGAUAUUGGGAAGAACACCAGUGGCGAAGGCGCUCUACUGGGCCGUAACUGACACUCAGGGACGAAAGCUAGGGUAGCG
rnacentral:rRNA from 1 species